AGAAGCAGAAGGUACAUCCCUGCCACUCCUCUGGACAAAUACCUUCUUUGAUGACCGCACACAUCUCCAGUUCUCGAAAACAGCCCCCUGCUUGUGUUCAGUGUUCCUGGCCUUUGUCAACAAGAUGAGGAACUGGAGGCCCAGAGAGGUGGAGCUGCAUGGACCACCCCGCUGGAAGAAGGACUAUUUUCUCUGUCAAAUCCUCUGAAAUAUGGUGGAAAUAAAUCCUUCAGGAAGACCAGCAAAGGAGAGCAGAGGGAGCUGGAGAAAAGCCGUCCAGAAGAUGAUCAUCUCCUAGACCACGAUGCUCUUGGAAAAGCCAGCUGGAAGUUGCAGGGGCCCAGAAUACUACAGCUUCUAAGAACUUGCAAGUAAUAAAGAUACAGCUCUCCAC